rnacentral:lncRNA from 1 species
UCGAGAUUCUUCUCAAGCGAGCUCGACUGCUGCCUGAAUGUUAUCAACCUCGAGGUCAUCGCCAUCGCGGUUGUCGUCUCCUUGUUUCGCACCUUUCGCCAUCUAACCAGGAAAAACCUCGCUACUGAUGCCAACUGACGCAGAACGGAAGCACGGUAAAGAAUUAAUUUCUACGAAUUAAUCCUAUAGACCACGAUAACUCUGGAAUUCACCAGAUAAUUGAGAGAAAAC